rnacentral:rRNA from 1 species
GACGAACGCUGGCGGCGGGCUUAACACAUGCAAGUCGAACGGAAAGGCCCUGCUUUUGUGUGGUGCUCGAGUCGCGAGCGGGUGUGUAACACGUGAGUAACCUUCCCUGUACUUUGGGAUAACUUCAGGCAACUGGGGCUAAUACCUGCUAGGAGCUCCUGCUGCAUGGUGGGGUUUGGAAAGUUUCGGCGGUUGGGGAUGGACUCGCGGCUUAUCAGUUUGUUGGUGGGGUAGUGGCUUACCAAGGCUUUGACGGGUAGCCGGCCUGAGAGGGUGAACGGCGACAUGGGGACUGAGGGACGGCGCAGACGCCUACGGGAGGCAGCAGUGGGGAAUCUUGCACAAUGGGGGGACGCCUGAUGCAGCGACGCCGCGUGCGGGAUGACGGCCUUCGGGUGGUAAACCGCUUUCGCCUGUGACGAAGCGUGAGUGACGGUAAUGGGUAAAGAAGCACCGGCUAACUACGUG